rnacentral:lncRNA from 1 species
CCCUAUCCAUGGACCACCAGCCAAUCCUACCAGUGGUCCCCAAACGUACGGUGGGGAUGGGUGCACCCCUCCACCCCGUCCCUUUUAACCUCAAUUAAACCUGGUGGAAAAUGCCCAGAUUCUCCCUGUACUCUCCCUAAUCCCCAUUAUCUAAUCCUGGGCUCCACCAUUCCGCGAACGCUACAAUUCUCUGUUCCACAACGGACGUUGUGUCACAGACUUAAUUAAUACGUCCAUUAAACGAAAUCUGUUACACUUAUAAUUGUCUUUUAAUACAUCAUAACAGUGUCUCCACUCUUCCAACAAGAACUAGCUAAUCGU